CCGGCUUUGGAAGAUAGAUGGACAGAUGAACUCUCACCAUCCUCUGUUUUUCAAGUAACCCCUAACGGAUCUGUGAUGAUGAACAUUUAUCAGUGGCAGAUGUUUACAUCGAGGUGAACAACUGGACUCCUUGGAUUUCUCAAAACAGGCGGAUCAUUUGGAGCCCCACCUUCAUAUUAUCGAUGAAGAUCUCAUGCAUGUAUUCUGUACUCUCAUCUUCUACCUUCCUCUUCCCCAAACCUAUACGUCAACACUUGGAGACAGGAAAAGCUCGAGCACUAUAAAAUCUCAACACUCCUUUCUCAAUACAUCUACUAAGGUUGUCUCAAAUACAACAGUCUGGAAACUCCUUGCUCCACUAAACUCCCCUCCUAUUGCAUUGCCCUCUUGUUGGCAGCACUUCAAAACUGCUGUUGGAAUCAAACUUCACCCUGGUACAAGUUGAGAAACAGGUCCUUCAAGGUAAAUUUCAGAAUUGGUUGCAAUACCUUGAAUAUUAUCAUACGCCGGUCAAAUUGAAGAGAAAUAAAUAUAGUUUCCGCACAGAAACUAAAUUGUAAUCUUCUAACAUCACUCCAGGAAACAACUGCAGUUCCCACUCAUCCCCUUUAUCCUUUUUUUAUCCUCUUUACACCUUUUUUUCUAUAUAUUCUUUUCCGUUGUCUUCUACUUCUGUUAUUAUUUUUAUUUUACUUUUGCAUUUUGUACUUCAGUAACUCAAAUGAAUUGGAUGCCAGCCAUAAAGCCUCCGUGCACAGAGGCUUGAGCUGCUAGAGAGGCUUUGCACAUGGCCAUAAGUAGGGACCUGAAAAAGUAAUCAUCAAAAGUAGAGCCUCUUACCCUGGUGUCUAUCCUGAGACCGGGUGAAGCGAUCCCUUGCAUGAUCAAACCAUUGGUUUUGGGCAUUUUGGGGCUGUUAAAUAUUUUGAAGAAUGCGAAGUUAGUCAUACUUAGACCAGCAAUCCUGGCUGCAGAUUUGUUGGCAAACAAAGGAAAGAUGUUUCUGAACUAAAUUGGAUAUAUUUUGGUCCUUUUGAGCCUGUACAAAUUCGGUGUUUUCAUGCAUCUUGUGAGGUCUUGCAUAAGUAGUGGUUGUGAUAGCCACUAUAGCAGAUCUAGAGAAAAAAAAAAAAAGAAACUCAACGAAAUGGUUACUUCGAUCCUCCUUUUCAAAAUGGAAGAAGAAAAGAGUGGACUAUUUUGGUGUCAGUUCUAGACCUAACUGGGACAGUAUAAUCGAGUUUAUUGACCUAACCAAAACAGAAUUGUCAAAGUCCAAGCUCAGAUCUAAUGAGCUUUGUCUAUCCGAAAGUAUGCCAUCUGAUUCAGAAUAGAUCCGACCAUUUUGCACCACUAGACUGCACCUGUGUUGCUUCAAGUUUGAUCUGCUGUGACACUAAGGGAGUGUUUGGUUGGGAUAAUUAAGGCUUGGAAUGGAAAUCGAAAUAGAUGACUUCCAUUCAAACUGUUUGAUUGGGGAAAGUUCUAUUCCGAUUCCUAUUCGAGAGAGGAAUGGGAAUGGUCUAUUCCUCGUGUAACCGAAUCCGAACUCAUCC
rnacentral:lncRNA from 1 species